ACAUAGGUUGGGGUACCAUCACUCUUGGUCUUUGUUUAUAGGCAUAAGCCCCAUCCCCCUGGAUGUAUCACCUACUAGCUUUCGACCUACUGGUUUUGUUAAGGGAUCCGCUAAAUUUAACUCAGAUUGCACAUAGUCAAUUGAUAUGACUCCAUGCUCAAGCCAUUGCUUCACAGUAUUAAGUCUUAGGCGUAUGUGCCUAUUUUUCCCAUUAUACGUUUGAUUUUUAGCUCUAGCUAUAGCAGCUUGGCUAUCACAAUGCAAAGACACAGACGGAGCUGGUCUCUUUAAGGAAAAAAAAAAAUACGGUCUCAAUCCAAACUUUGAUAGCCAUGUCUCUAAUUGCCAAAAAUCAGAGACACAUAACCAAAUUUCAAAUUCAACAUGAAAUAGAAAACCAAAUGGUAACCCAUAACCAAAAUUGAAAUCAAACAAAGAAUUACCUAGACUGCUAUGCCAAUUGACCGGACAUGAACAACAGAAAAAGCAAUUCACUUUAAUAAGAGGAUGGUGUAAAACAGGAAAUAAGAUCGAAGCAAUUGAGCUAGUACUUACAUUCACCAUAUUUAGUUUCCAGCCAAGUCCAGUUAUCUCUCCAAUUUUGUAUUCAGGUUGCACUCAAUAGAAAAAAUAAGAGAGAAAAAGAAAUUAAUAUAUAAUCAUACAUGAUUGAUAUAUGAUCUUCUAAAAUGAUUAUAGAAAAAUUAGGAAGUUCUACACACCUUUGUGCAUUCAUAUCCCUCAGUUCUGAUUGCUUCCAAAGAGUGUCAUUGGCACCCAUAUGAGACUUGAGUACUCGGUCAGUAUCCCAUUGCCUCCUCCCAUGUGUUGCCUGAACCAAAAGAUGCAUUCACUUGGCUAGUCCCCCCACCAACCCCAGCUGUGGACAACUAUAUAUCUGCAUACAAACAGGAAAGGAAAAGGCACUGAAGCUAUAAUACAAACAGUCAGUUGGGAUAAACACACAGCUACAUACUGAUUGAUAACACCAUUUUUUUUUCCAUCCUCAGCAAGUACAAGUCCAUUGCAAACGAGAUUCUGAAAGGCAAGAGGCAUGAUUGCCAAAUAAUGAGGUAGAUAACACCAUAAGUGUAGAACCUGCAUCAUAAUCAGAGGGAAGCAAUGAGGCCUAGCUUAGACAUUAGAAACUUGUGCCCAAGUUAGGACAAAAGCUGACACAAAGGAAUCUAAUCCUACAAUAGUCAGCCGACAGUCAUUAUAUUAAUUAAAAAGAAAAAGAAACAACUUACGAACAACAAAAUGGUUUUUCUAUUAGUUACCAAAAUAAACUCCCUAUUAUGUUUCCAACUGUACUUCAUAGUUUUCAGAGUCUUCAUCUAACACUAGAAUCCAUGUGGAAAGAAGUAUCAUUACCACACAUGUACAUACAUAAUUGAUAUAUAUAUAUAUAUAUAUAUAUAUAUAUAUAUAUNNNNNNNNNNNNNNNNNNNNAUAUAUGCCAAGACCAUCGCAAGCAAAAAGUCUAAAAUUUGAUAAAUUGUAUUAGGGUAAGGCACCACAAAUCACAUACACAACACAAUACAAAGCACAAAUUUUAAGACUUAGUUCUCUACAGGAAGGCAUUUGCCUCUGCAAACUUAUCCCGAACUGGAAGUUGUUAGGAGCUUUUUUGCAACCUAGAAGCACAAACAAAAAAAAAAGGGGAAAAAAAAAACUUACNNNNNNNNNNNNNNNNNNNNUUACAGAAUAACUACACUUAAUCAUUAGAUAACUAAUUCCUGUUACAAAGUGUGAGACUUGCAGAAUUACCGAAAUAGAUGAAUCUUGCUUGUCCUUAGUCAGCUUUAGUAAUACAUAAGGAUAUGCUCCUCCUAAAUGAAUCUUCUGCGGCUUUCAGAUACUUUACUGUUGUUCUCUUCCAGUUCCUGCUCCAAUUGCGUGAGUGUCGAUUGGAAGGCCCCAAUUUAGAUAAACUACUGUAAAUAAACAUGACAUGUUCAUUUCUCACCUGGAAUUGAAUGAACAGGAGAAGCUUUAGAAAUCUGGCAGGAAAAUCAGAAGUUGACAAUCACAGCUACCAAAUCCUCUUUCUCUCUGUCACAAAAAAAAAAGGUCUCAAUCCAAAAUUUGAUACCCAUAUCUCUAAUUGCCAAAAAUCGGAGACACAUAACCAAAUUUCAUAUUCACCAAGAAAUAGAAAACCAAAUGGUAACCUGUAACCAAAAUUGAAAUCAAACAAAGAAUUACCCAGACUGCUAUGCCAAUUUACUGGACAUGAACAACAGAAAAAACAAUGCACUUUAAUAAGAGGAUGGUGAAAAACAGGAAAUAAGAUCAAAGCAAUUGAGCUAGUACUUACAUUCACCAUAUUUAGUUUCCAGCUAGGUCCAGUUAUCUCUCCAAUUUUGUAUUCAGGUGGCACUCAAUAGCAAAAAGAAGAAAGAAAAAGAAAUUAAUAUGUAAUCUUGUACAUACAUGAUUGAUAUAUAAUCUUCUAAAACGAUUAUAGAAAAAUUAGGAAGUUCUACACACCUUUGUGCAUUCAUAUCUACCUCAGUUCUGAUUACUUCCAAAGAGUGUCAUUAGCACCCAUAUGAGACUUAAGUACUGUAUCAGUAUCUCAUUGCCUCUUCCCAUGUGUUGCCUGAACCAGAAGAUGCAUUCACUUGGCUAGUCCCCCCGCCACCCCCAGCUGUGGACAACUAUAUAUUUGCAUACACAUUUGAUGAAUUUAGAAACAUGAGAUACGCAUUAAUUGACAAUAAGUCUAAAGUUAUUUAGUUAGAACCAAUUUAAAACCUUAACAUGAUUGUCCAAAAAAAAAUUAACAAAACAGAGCCGUUCUGCUAUAGCUAAUCAAGAAGGGAUGCGUUUAAAACACAUUAAUCAUUAUAAAUUGAUAUAAUAAUUCCAGUAGACACAAUACUGAUUGUCAUCAAUUUUUAUUAAUUAAAAAAAAAAAAAAAACCAUCAGAGAGCCUAGCUUUUAGCAAUUCAAUGCACAAAACAAUAAAAAUUACUAUGAUAUGGAUAUUUUUCUGGUAAGCAUCAUGCAUACAGCCUCAUAGGUUUAAGACUUAAAAGUAAGAUAGUUCUGUUUUGAAUAGGAUAAUUAUUUCUAAUGAGACCAUGCGUCUGUUUUCACACCUGAUAGGAUUUUUAGGUUCUUUCCACUAUAAGUUUCAAUUCAGUUUUGAUUCCAACUGUACAAUCAAUACAAUAAAACCCAA
rnacentral:lncRNA from 1 species